UACGAAGGGUGCGAGCGUUACUCGGAAUUACUGGGCGUAAAGCGUGCGUAGGUGGUGAGUUAAGUCUGAUGUGAAAUCCCCGGGCUCAACCUGGGAAUGGCAUUGGAUACUGGCUCGCUAGAGUGCGGUAGAGGGUGGUGGAAUUCCCGGUGUAGCAGUGAAAUGCGUAGAGAUCGGGAGGAACAUCUGUGGCGAAGGCGGCCACCUGGACCAACACUGACACUGAGGCACGAAAGCGUGGGGAGCAAACAGG
rnacentral:rRNA from 1 species